rnacentral:rRNA from 1 species
GAACGCUGGCGGCGUGCCUAAUACAUGCAAGUCGAGCGAACAGACGAGGAGCUUGCUCCUCUGACGUUAGCGGCGGACGGGUGAGUAACACGUGGAUAACCUACCUAUAAGACUGGGAUAACUUCGGGAAACCGGAGCUAAUACCGGAUAAUAUAUUGAACCGCAUGGUUCAAUAGUGAAAGACGGUUUUGCUGUCACUUAUAGAUGGAUCCGCGCCGCAUUAGCUAGUUGGUAAGGUAACGGCUUACCAAGGCAACGAUGCGUAGCCGACCUGAGAGGGUGAUCGGCCACACUGGAACUGAGACACGGUCCAGACUCCUACGGGAGGCAGCAGUAGGGAAUCUUCCGCAAUGGGCGAAAGCUUGACGGAGCAACGCCGCGUGAGUGAUGAAGGUCUUCGGAUCGUAAAACUCUGUUAUUAGGGAAGAACAAAUGUGUAAGUAACUAUGCACGUCUUGACGGUACCUAAUCAGAAAGCCACGGCUAACUACGUG